rnacentral:rRNA from 1 species
AUGGUGCCGGGGCGUGGUGAUGGUGAUGGAUCGGUAAUGGCGCUGGAGCAUGGUGAUGGCGAUGGAUCGGCGUCGGCGCCGGAGCAUGGUGAUGAUGGUGGUGGAUCUGUGACGGCGCUGGAGCGUGGUGAUGAUGGUGAUGGAUCGGCGAUGGUGUCGGAGCUUUGUGAUGAUGGUGGUGGAUCGGUGAUGGGGCCGGAGCAUGGUGAUGAUGACGGUGCCGCCCGUGGGCGGGAGCAGGCGCCAACGCCGGACCGUGAUGGUGAUGAGGGCUCGGCGCUGGGGAAAAAUGGCCAAGAUGGUGAGCAGGGCUCGGUGCUUGAGUCGGUGUGUGGUGGUGGUCCUCGUGCGCCGAGGAGAGCAUAG